rnacentral:lncRNA from 7 species
ACUUUCUUUUUGUUUUGUCCUCGAGGUAUACUGGUUGCUUUCUUCAAGAAUAAAAAACAGCAAAAUAUCAGUCGUUGGCUUUAUGGUGUACAGAUGCCUGUUUUGCCAGGACAAAGGGAACAUUGCAUGCCCAUGUUAUUUCCAACACAUUCAGAGUUCCUGUUUGCUUCCAGUUAUCCUCCAGCACUGCAGAGAUAGGUUGAUACUUUGGAUGUGCCUGAACCUUCCUUUUCGACAAGAAGUUAUCUUGAAAAUCACAUCUUCCAAAGGUGUGUUGAGGAUCUCUGCCAGUGUUCCUGAGAGUUAAGUUCAGGAAACCUUUUCACUUCCCAUCCAUGUGUAGAAUCCAGAGAAGAUGGAUUUAUCUCGAGUGUUAACUGCCAAAAUAUGUAGAGCUGCACUGGCAGUUUGUCCUUUGUGAUGUCGUCUCUACCUGACUGAGAAGGUCUUAUCUUCAAAUUGCUUUAAGUACUUGUUUCCCAAUCUACAUGAUAAAACAGAAGUUUAGGCCCUGGAUGUCCUCCAGGUUUUGCAGUUGGAGUAUUUCAUUGCCAGAAAUACAAUCCAGCUUCAUC